ensembl:lncRNA
CUCGGCUCUGCCCCGGCCCCCGGCCCCCGAGCCCGGACUGGGAGCGGGGCCCCCUAAGGAUUUACGGCCGCGCCCGAAAGAGAAGCGGCGACGCGGCGGCUGCCUCUGGGACGUGCUGGGCUCGGCUCGGCUCCCCGCACGGGCCGCGGUGCCGGGGCCGAGCGGCCCGGGAGCGGCUCGGGCAGGAAGGCGGCUCUGGCCCCGCUCUCGGGGCGAUGCCGACGCCCGUUCCCGAGCAGCUGCCGCGGGUGCCGCGGAACCGCUGCGGGGUGGGAGACGCCGAGGUGGCAAUGCCCUGAGUUGGCUUCUCUGGCCUGUUUCUUUUGCUUUACUUGCAUAUUCCCUCCCCUCGUCCAGCGGGUACCUCUCCGUGCUCUCAGAAGGCAUCCAGCAGGGAAAUACGCUCGGCAGGAAAGGAAGGAAAAGGGCUGCUCUGGGGAGAGCAGUGCAACUGAGUGGUCUUAGUCUUAGCCGUCUUUCGUGGACUUGGUAUAGCUGCCUUGAACUAGAGAAUUGCUCUGGCAAAAAGAGAUGCCCACCGGUACAGCUCAUGAAAGGUGGCUUUGAACUUCUGGCUGUGGAAGUGUCAAAAAUUGUCCACUACAAGGGAGGUGCAAGUGCAAGUGUCGCAUGGAAACGAAGUCAGCAUCGCACAGGACUGCCCCUGGUUACCAUGUGUGAGUGGGGGGUGCUCGCUGUACUGGUUAGCACAGGGGGGCUGCUAAGCACCUGGCUAAAACCCCCCAGCUCUGCAGGCUCCUGAAAUGCUGUUCCCCCAGAGGUUCAGUGCUAUGCAGCUGAAGAAGAAAGAGAAACACGGUUACAAGCCCAGGCUAUCCAAACCCAGCAACUCCUUUCUCUAUAACACUGGCAGCCCCCAGCAGCCGAUAUUACACUCUGGAUUUAGCAACUGAAACCCUGAUUAAGGGCCGAAAUGCCAGUCCCAUUCUCUCUUGCACUCCCUAAUCCCAGCCCAGACUGUGCUCCUUCCUUAAUUGCUUCACCAGCACCAACUAGCAGAUAGGGUAUUUGCAAAAAGGUCACGAGGGAUCCCCGUGCAAAGCUGAGGGAAGUGGACAGAACUUCCUGCUCUCUCAUGUCACCUGCCCCGUCAUCCUUCACAGACAACUAUUGCAAUGUCAUUUGGCUGAAAGGUGUGGCACCUUUAUUAGAAAUAAAUAGCAUAGCACAUUAGCA